AUGAUAGGUGCUAAAUUACCUGAGCCCAUUGGCUAUACUGCUGGGCAUAUGGCCAUACUGAUUCCAGUUGUAUGCGUUUGGAUAUUGACCGUAAGCAGCAGCUUGUUGUUGAUAAGCUUGCGUGUAGUUAGCAUUGGCAGCUGCUGUUUGUUGCUGUGCUUGCGUUGUAGCUGUGGUUCCAGACGCUUGCAUACUGGUUCCAUGCACCCCAACCUUGGUUCUGACCAUAUCCUUGCAUCCAAUUUCCACCUGCAUUCUGAUUUUGAGCCAUGUUAUUCUGACUAGCUGUCUGAUUACGAUUCUGGCUAGCAUCUCCAUCUCGACUUCCGCCGCGUCCUCCUCUUUCACUACCAUCCUGUAACAACAAGAAAUGCAACAUUAGGCAGUGUCUAAAAUAAAUUCAUGGUCAUGUCAUCUUUUUCCCACUUAACUGAUUUUUUUCAACGGUUCCAUUCCCUCUUUUCAUUGUUCAGUAAUUUGAUGUUUAGUCUUUUUUCUAAUACCUAGAUAUGAUUGCUACCAACUUGCAGAGACUACGAAGAAAAACAUUUUCUCAAAAUUCUCUAGUCAUCCUAAUUACCGUUAACACUAACAACAUACCAGUCAGUCAUUUGACCCGAAUAAAUGACCCAGCAGUGACAAGGGUCUAACAGACAUUUAGGAAUAUGUGAGCUAUUGAGAAAGGUAAAAAGAAGCAAUGAAACAUUUUACAUGUAUUUGGUAGCCAUUAGAAUUACUUGGGUUUUCCUGUGAAAAAUUUCCUCACACCUCGAAAAUAGCAAGGUUGCAAAUUAUGCACAAAAUAUCAACCAAAAAGUUUGCUCUAUCUCUUGCCAAUGGUGUGUCUUCACAUAUCUUAGCAAUCAUUAUUGGCAGCUUCUAGGGCGAAUAGUGACUUUGUAAAAAUCAUACAGGCAUCAAAAUGGCUUCAGAAACAAGAAAAAUUUGUUUUGCUUUUUCACUGAAAGUCAUCAGCAAUAUUUACAUCUGGUUUCAUAAUUUGCUUCAUGCUUCAAAGUUAAAGAUGGCAGAGUCACAUUAAAUGCAUGGUUUUUCCUCCGAGUAAAACUCCUAUAUUUCAUGGCAUUUCUAAGCAUGCCAUGGAGCAUGGAGCCUAAUGCAAGGCAUAAUCUUAAUGAUGAUGUUUCAAAAUGAACGCUUGGAUUAUUCCAUAAAUGCUUGAUGGACAUGGCGGGUUGAGAGAUUGGAAUGUUAAUUGGAUAUUCUCAUCAAAAGCUGGCAUUGAUGAUGUGCAAGGGAUUUCUGAGCUGGGGAAAAAUGUGGCAGAACUUACCCGUCUCUUGUCAUCUCGUCCAGAUCUAUCGCCAUAACUCCUGUCAUUGAAAUUGUUUCGGUCAUUGUAGCUUCUAUCACCAUAGCCUCUAUCUCCACCAAAACCAUCUCUGUCACCAAAUCCACCGCGUCCGCGUGGUCCACCUCGAGGACCAUCAAAGCCUCUUCCUCGGGGACCACCACGAGGCAUUCCACGUCCUCUAAAUCCGCCACGGUCCAUACCUCCGCGACCUCUCAUUCCACCUCUACCACCAUCGAAGUCUCGAUCGUCGCGAGACCGCCAGUCCGGUCCACCUCUGCCACCUCUAAAUCCUCUACCCAUAGGUGGGCCACCCCUCAUUCUGAAAAAAAUAAAAGAAGUUAAGAUUUUUCUUUAGCUUUUGGGCUUUGGAUAGUAAUUUUUGAGGACUCAAAAGUGAAACAUCUCACAUGACGUACUAAUUUUUUGGGCGCGGAAAAAUUAAGCGACAGAAUGCAAAAUAACGUUUGAGAUUAACUACCACUGAAUUGACAUGCCUUUGCUUCUCUUUGCUUCUUGAUUGAAGGCUGUAGAGUGGCGUUGCUUGCUGAGAUGGCUAUGAACAAGUCUUAAAUUUUCAGGUAAGCAACUGACAUCUCUGUGAAUGAGUCUCUUAUCAAAGAUAUCACAAUAGGUAGAGGUUCAUAACAGAUCCUUACCGGUCUUGCCAUCCACCACCUCGGCCUCUGUCACGCGAGUCACUUCUUCCACGGUGGCCCCUAUCACCAUCACGGUCCAUUCCACCACGAGGAUGCCACCCUCCUCUUGAUUCACGGUCACCUGCAAAAAUUAAAGAAAAACCUUGUGAAUGGGAUGCAUAACCUACUAACGCGCAAGAAAAAAAUGGAUGUUGGGCGAAAGCAGUUAAAUUGAUAUCAACAGCAUACUUGAGAAAGGAGUAUGGUAAAGGGAACAAAUCGAAACCUAAAGGCACGAAAUUACUGGAAGGUCUUUUUCUUAAAGUCGACUUUGGAGCAUUUCCAUCUCAGCAAAAUAUUCUUACAAUCCUCAACGUAAUGUCUGCUU
rnacentral:lncRNA from 1 species